rnacentral:tRNA from 1 species
CAAGUUAAUCUUAUAAGUUAGAAAUUUCAUUUACAUUGAAAUUAUUAUUGUGCAAUUCAAUAUAACUUGA